ACAAGAAACAAAAAAUAUUGCAUUCUGUCUAUUAAAAUGAACUUGAAAAUAGCUUUUUAAUUUUUUUAGAAAUGCUCUUAGAUCUUUAAAAGUUAUGUAUUCUUGCUAAAACUGAAAAGCUGAAUAUAUAGAAUUUGAAUAUACAUCAAUUUCAAAAAUUUAAAGUUUAUAUUUUAUACCCGAAUAUAACUUUUAGUAAGUAUACUUACAUAUUGAGAUUAGGUGCACACGCAAAGCACAUAACAUGAAUUUUACCAAAUAAUAAAGUCUCCUAACCAAAAAGAAAAUUGUGUGUGUGAUUUAAGGCAAAAUAAUUUAACCAAAAAGAUCUCCUAAACCUAAAAGAUAUUAACUACAAAAUAAACGCAUUCAAUAAUCCAACAUAGGGGCGAAUAUUUAGGCUAGGCAGAAUUUUUAACUACAAAAAAGGUCUCCAAAACCUUAAAGCUAUAAACUACUCCAACAUACGUAGGGAGUAGAACGAAUAGGAAAAACAUUAGGCAAAAUUUUAUUACCUUUCCUAGACGGUUAAUAAUAGGAGAAUAAUUAAAUAGCUAUUCCAAAAUUAUAGGAGAAUUAAUUAAAGGAUUAUUUCAAAAUAUUAAUGAAAUACUUAAAUUACUAUUUUGUCUAAUGUGAACUCUAUAUUUUAAAGGGUAAAAAAGGCGAACGAUAUUUCUCUAAGGACCUUCGUGCUUUUAAUAUAGUAUAGACAUAGACUAGUAUAGUAUUAGGAUACGCGCGUUGCGCGUGUACCCCAUUUCAAAGAGUAAUAUUUUACUAAAAAUUAAUUUGACUUAUUGUGACGACCGGCCAGUCGUGUCAUGAGNNNNNNNNNNNNNNNNNNNNNNNNNUCUGCUUCUUUAUGCUUCGUUAUCCGUGUUUUAUGGUAUCAGGUUGGUCGGAUUGAGUCCGGAAUGAUUUUGGUAAGGUUUGAGACACUUAGUCUCUUUUAAGGAAGUUUGAGUUGGAAAAGUCUAAACCUAAAAGAUAUUAACUACAAAAUAAACGCAUUCAAUAAUCCAACAUAGGGGCGAAUAUUUAGGCUAGGCAGAAUUUUUAACUACAAAAAAGGUCUCCAAAACCUUAAAGCUAUAAACUACUCCAACAUACGUAGGGAGUAGAACGAAUAGGAAAAUAUUUAGGCAAAAUUUUAUUACCUUUCCUAGACGGUUAAUAAUAGGAGAAUAAUUAAAUAGCUAUUCCAAAA
rnacentral:lncRNA from 1 species